rnacentral:snRNA from 1 species
CGUCGCUGCCGUGAUCGUGGU